GUUAGUUUAUUAGUUAUUAUGUGUUAUGGAAUGACCCGACAAUAUUAAAAAUAGCGAUCGUGGUAAAAGAUGCACUGCGAUAGACAUGUGUGAUAUGUCAAUAUCCAAAAAAACGAAGAGGGCAAAUAAUUUUGAAAUGAAGAGAAGCGUGGCUCUUCAAACGAAGUUAAAUUUUGGUUUGAAAAACGAUGAUCUGUGACUUGUAAAAUGGUGAUUUGACCAGGCAUGAAGAGUAUAAGGAUUAUGGAUACAUGGGAUUUCCUUAUUCAGUCUACUGUUUAAUGAAAACUAUGACAUCCUAAAGGUUUCCAGGGAAAACUCUGGAUAUUGCAGGUAAUGACCACCAUGAUGGAAGACUGGUGUAAUCCUGAAGCAGCAGAAUGACUUUGAAACCUACAUUUCUCUUCUCUGUGUUCAACAUAAAAUUAUAAAAGAAAUUUUUCUUGAUGGAAUUGAGGUAAAUACCAUUAGAAUAACAGGUUGUAUACUUUUUCUCUGCCUUUAAUAUAUUAAGAUUAUGUCCUUAAUUAACAUUCACUUUUCUUUAUAAUGUGUACGAGGAUUGACUUUUGUCAAAAAGUAUAGGCUUUUCAUACCAAUACUUCCACCCAAUUACAGGAGUGUUUACUUUAUUAGUGAAAGUAUAUUUUCAGUUGGGUUUUCAGUUUCUUAACUAGUUUGAUUUGAAAGCCAUUAGCUUUGUUCUCACUGUGUGUGUUUUCUUAAUGAAACUACACUUCCAUCCAGUUGUUCUUUGCUAUUUGUUUGCAUGUAUUACUUUAUCAAAGUACUUUAUUUCUGAUGUGCUAUUAAGCAGUUGUUUUUAUUUUAGGCUUGCUUUUUUUGUAUUUAGUGGAAGAUGUUUAAGUGUUUUUCUGUACUUAAAGCUUAGUUAUAUUUAUACUUGUCAUGCAUUCUGUAGUAUACAUUUCUUAAAAAUUUUCUUAAUUCCUAUUUCUUCUUCUUUUAGGUAGAGCUAGAUAAUUAGUGGUAUUUGUUAAUUGAUUAAUUUUUAGGCUCAUUAAUCGAUUACAUUCAACUAAUUGGUUAUUCUCACAUAAGACUUGAAAGUAAUUGAAAAUAGUAAUAAUUGGAAACACUAAUUUCCAUUAGUUGAUUAUUUUUGUGACAUUAAUCAAUUUAACUGUAAUUUUGAUUAGUUGAUUAUUUUACCUGACGCUAGUCAAGGUAAUAGAUGCUCAUAGGUAACCAACUAUAUCGAUAAAUUGAGUUAAUCGUACAGCUCUACUGCUACUACUCCUGUAUCUUGCAGAUAGUGGAUGUUCAGUGUCUCGUAGAUUAUACAUUUUAUUCCUAACUGGCUUGCUUUUCUCUCAUUUUUGUUGCCUAUAUCCUCUUUUGCUUUAAUGGGUGAUUCAUUGUUUUUAGUCUUCAAAUGCUGAGCUUUGUAAAUUACUUGAUGCAUUUUUCUCUUUCACUGAACUGUCUCUUCUUUGAAGUCGGAACUUGUAAUUUGAUUUGAGUGUGAGAGAGAGAGAGAGAAACUUGCUUCUUCCUGACUGGAUGAGAUACUUUUCUAUUCUUACUAUUAGUCCUUGAAUACAUCUCUUUAAAUUUGUUGCUUAGAUUGAAGAAGGGAUGUUAAUCAGUUUUCUUUCUUUCUUUAGACUACUUAGGCAGAUAUUUAACUGCCUGCUUAACAUCUAAUAUUCUUCCUUAAUAUCUCAAGAUUUUCUAUGCUGAAAGAUUUUAGUGGGAUUCUAGUUGACAUUUUCUUGUGCGUAUCUCGCUGCUGAUUCUUAUGUACAUGCUUGGGGUGCCCUACAAAAUUCAUAUAUAUUUCUAACUUGUUUCAUACAAUAGGUUUUGGGCAAUGUUCAUAUUUUAAUUCUUUGUCUACUUUUUUUCAUCAUUUCAGACUUGUUAGUUACUUUGUCUUCCAGUUGCGUUCCUUGGUUUUUAGGUGUUCAUAUUUGACAAGUAGGAUGGUUUUCUUUUAUUAUUUGCAGCUUCCUUAAUCUUACUUGUAGGAGUUGAUGGCUACCCAGAUAUGUAUUUGUGACUGUAGAUUUUCAGUUAACAUAAACCUUUCUUUGUGCUUUGAAUCUCUCAACCAACGUUGCUGAUGUGGGACUGGUAACUCUGAAGUGACACAUGAUAACCCCCAUAAAUGAUCCUUAUAAGCUGAAACAGAUUUAU
rnacentral:lncRNA from 1 species